rnacentral:rRNA from 1 species
AGAGUUUGAUCAUGGCUCAGGACGAACGCUGGCGGCGUGCCUAAUGCAUGCAAGUCGCACGCGCGGAGCUUGCUCCGUGAGUGGCGCACGGCUGAGGAUCACGUGGGAACAUGCCUCCUUGUGGGGGACAACAGCGCGAAAGCGGUGCUAAUCCCGCAUACGCUCGGGCAACCGAGGAAAGCGGUAACGCGCAGGGAGAGUGGCCCGCGGCCCAUCAGGUCGUCGGUGGGGUAAUGGCCUACCGAGCCGAUGACGGGUAGCUGGUCUGUGAGGACAGACAGCCAGACUGGGACUGAGACACGGCCCAGACUCCUACGGGAGGCAGCAGCAAGGAAUUUUCGUCAAUGGGCGCAAGCCUGAACGAGCAACGCCGCGUGCCGGAUGACGGCCUUCGGGUUGUAAACGGCUUUUGCGGGGGACGAUGAUGACGGUACCCCGCGAAUAAGGCUCGGCUAACUCUGUGCCAGCAGCCGCGGUAAUACAGAGGAGCCAAGCGUUGUCCGGAUUGACUGGGCGUAAAGCGCACGCAGGCGGUUGCGCGCGUGGGGUGUGAAAUCUGGCCGCUUAACGGCCAGGCGCCAUCCCAUACGGCGCGACUGGAGUGAUGCAGAGGUCGGUGGAAUUGCCGGUGUAGUGGUGAAAUGCGUAGAGAUCGGCAGGAACACCCAGGGGGAAACCAGCCGACUGGGCAUCGACUGACGCUGAGGUGCGAGAGCGUGGGGAGCGAACCGGAUUAGAUACCCUCGUAGUCC